UACAGAGGGUGCGAGCGUUGUCCGGAAUCACUGGGCGUAAAGGGCGCGUAGGUGGCGACCCAAGUCGAUGGUGAAAGCUCGUCGCUCAACGACGAGUCGGCCACCGAUACUGGGUUGCUCGAGCACUGUAGAGGCAGAUGGAAUUCCGGGUGUAGCGGUGGAAUGCGUAGAGAUCCGGAAGAACACCAGAGGCGAAAGCGGCGUCCUGGGGUGAGGUUGACGCUCAGACACGAAAGCAUGGGGAGCGAACGGG
rnacentral:rRNA from 1 species